rnacentral:lncRNA from 1 species
CAUCACUUCUUGAACGCGUGUUCAGCAACACUUUCCAUNNNNNNNNNNNNNNNNNNNNCACGGGGCCUGCUGACCCUCCUCUCCCCGCCGUAGCAGCUCAGCUUCCUUCCCUGCCGAGCUCGGCGGGGCGGCCCCGGCUGCGAUGCCACAGGCUCGGCCUUCAGGCCCUGCUGCGGCUCGGUGCUGACGUGCCAGCGGCGCCUUUGUCUCCCCCGCCGGGGAACGGCCUCACGCCCGUGGAUUGUUCCUCCCUCCACCGCUGACGGAGGCUGUUCCGCUCCAGCUCUCCCGGAUUACCCGGCAUUAGCCGCCCGUGGCAUAAAAGCAUCAGGCAGAGCUGUUGUGCACAGGGGAGAGUGCGGAGAGAGUGGGAGAACAAAAGCUGUUGCUUCCACAUCAGACCUGCUGUGGGAUUGGGAAGCACAGCUCCGUGCAGGGCCAGGAAGGCUGGAGUGGCGCAGCAGCCGCUCCCUGCACAGAUCCAGGGCGCAGCUGCAAGGAGGCCCUGCCUCGGGAAUCCUCCGGGUGCCCAAAGCAGCCCUGGCAGGGAGAAGCCUGACCUGUUUACCGGUGCCUCACCCUGCUCUUCCAUCCCUGCAGGUGCCCCGGAGGAAGGUCCCCGCGUGGUGUUCAUGGUGGACCUGUGGCACCCCAACGUGGCCGCGGCUGAGCGCCAAGCCCUCGACUUCAUCUUCGCGCCGGGACGAUGACGGCGCUGCCCGGCCUGACUACCUGAAGUGCAUGAUUUCUACACGCAUUGGCUACCUGGACACAGGCCCUGGGGAAGCAGGCUGGCUUUGUCCAAAGGUUGGUAACAUUCAUACAGUGGAUAAGCAAAGAUUAUCAAUAAACAGUUGUGCUGAAAACAGAACAGGCUUUGCCUGCUGCUCUGAGUCCCGGGUCAAGAACACACUGAGGGGUUGGGUCCUGCUUAUCUGGCUGCUGGUGGGGAGAAGUGGCCUAGAAAAAGCAGGAGCUGCAGGGUGGGAGGGGGCAUGGGCCUGUUUGCCAGUGAUACAGUGAGCAAGGGUAGUGCUUUAAAAUAACCACCCCGUGGAAACUCCGUCCUGACCAGUUACAGCCUCCCAGGCCUGGAUAUGGCCAGGUUGGAUGGGGCCCUGAGCAGCCUGAUCUAGUGGGUGAAUCCUUGCCUAUGGCAGGACCUUGCAAAUGGAUAUUUGAGGUCUUUUUCAACCCAAACCAUUCUGGGAUUCUGUGAUGUCAGUGCAGCCCAGGCUGCCAAGGAGCACAGGGAUCUCCCACAGCCCAUUGGACUGGGCACAACUGUGGCAGUGCUGCCUGGCCCAGGGCAGCAGAGACUGUCCCCAGCCAUCCCCAGGAGCAGCUGUAGGCCUGAAGCUCCCUGGGCUACACAGAAGCCACCAGCCUUGCCAGAGCAUCCACAAAUCAUUUCAGGAAUUGCUUCCAGCUGCCUGCACUGAUGGAGCAAAGGGAGCAGCUUCCCAGGAGCAGCUCCAGGGCAGAGGGUGCUGCUCAAAUCCC